UCAUCGUAGGGUUAGUCGGGUCCUAAGCUGAGUCCGAAAGGGGUAAGCGAUGGAAAAUCGGUUAAUAUUCCGAUACCAACUAUAGAGCGUGAUGGGAGGACGCAUAGGGCUAUGUGAGGUCACUGAUGGAAUAGUGGCUCGAAGGGUGUAGGCUGGGAGAGAAAGGAAAAUCCACUCUCCUAUAGCUGAGACCUGACAGGCUGUGGAGGCUCUUAGGAGCCAAAACAGAAUCACAGAUGCCGAAGUGCCAAGAAAAGUCUCUAAGCAUAUCUAUAGUUGCCCGUACCGUAAACCGACACAGGUGGGUGAGAUGAGAAUUCUAAGGCGCGUGGAAGAACCAUUGUUAAGGAACUCUGCAAACUAGCACCGUAUCUUCGGUAGAAGGUGUGCCUACUUAGGUGAAGCCCCUAGCGGGUGGAGCCUGAGAGGUUGCAACAAAGAGUCCCUCCCGACUGUUUAC
rnacentral:rRNA from 1 species